rnacentral:sRNA from 1 species
CCCCGAAGCACUUGGCACAACCACUGCAUAACCUCUCUCACCAUACAUAAAGCAACGCCUCCAACGAUGAAGGCGGUGCUUCCCGAGAGAACGGGACCAGGACAAAGGCGUCCUCGCUAGCUUGUGCUAGCGGGACGCC